CUUUUCGCACGAAAAUUUUGGCGCGAGUUCUCGUGUGUAAUAAAAAUCCUUCUGAAUAUUUCAACGAUCGCAACUAUAUUUUAUUAUUUUGUGAGCAUCCCAUCUUGUUUUCAUGGAACGUGGCGGAGAGAAAAGGAAGCUAGAUUAUCCAAAUUCAAAUAACAAACGCACGAAGUCUGAAGAAACGAAACCGAGUGGGUUUGAACAAGAAUUAGCAAAAUUUGGUCCUGCAGAAAGUCGCGCGUUAAAGUGGGGUAGACCUCCACUACCUUCCCUGGACGCCUCAAAAGAUGCCUUGGUCUUUCAACAACUUGACUUAGACCAUUAUAUUGGUAAG